CCUACGGGAGUCAGCAGUGAGGAAUAUUGGUCAAUGGACGAGAGUCUGAACCAGCCAAGUAGCGUGAAGGAUGACUGCCCUAUGGGUUGUAAACUUCUUUUAUAUGGGAAUAAAACAGGGUAUGCAUACCCUCUUGUAUGUACCAUAUGAAUAAGGAUCGGAUAACUCCGUGCCAGCAUCCGCGGUAAUACGGAGGAUCCGAGCGUUAUCCGGAUUUAUUGGGUUUAAAGGGAGCGUAGGUGGAUUGUUAAGUCCGUUGGGAAAGUUUGCGGCUCCACCGUAAAAUUGCCGUUGAAACUUGCAGUCUUGAGUACAGUACCGGUGGGCGGAAUUCGUGUUGUAGCGGUGCAAUGCUUAGAUCUCACGAAGAACUCCGAUUGCGAAGGCAGCUCACUGGACUGCAACUGACACUCAUGCUCGACAGUGUGGGUAUCAAACAGGAUUAGCUACCCUUGUAGUC
rnacentral:rRNA from 1 species